rnacentral:rRNA from 1 species
UGAGGAAUAUUGGUCAAUGGGCGAGAGCCUGAACCAGCCAAGUAGCGUGCGGGAUGAAGGCCCUAUGGGUUGUAAACCGCUUUUACAGGGGGAUAAAGUGAGUCACGUGUGAUUCAUUGCAGGUACCCUGCGAAUAAGGACCGGCUAAUUCCGUGCCAGCAGCCGCGGUAAUACGUAGGUGGCGAGCGUUGUCCGGAAUUAUUGGGCGUAAAGGGAGCGCAGGCGGGAAGGUAAGUCUAUCUUAAAAGUGCGGGGCUCAACCCCGUGAGGGGAUGGAAACUAUCUUUCUUGAGUGCAGGAGAGGAAAGCGGAAUUCCUAGUGUAGCGGUGAAAUGCGUAGAUAUUAGGAGGAGCACCAGUGGCGAAGGCGGCUUACUGGACGAUAACUGACGCUGAGGCUCGAAAGCGUGGGGAGCAAACAGGAUUAGAUACCCUGGUAGU